rfam:Agrilus planipennis Contig53248, whole genome shotgun sequence.
AAACCGGUUCUUAUCAGAACCACAAUUUUUGAUAGUCAUAAAACG